GAGAGAGAGACUCGGAGUCUCCACCAGAUGGAGAAUCGGCGAGCCAGUGGAAGCUCAGCGUACCACCAUGCCGACAUUUGGACUAUCUAAAAUACCCAGCAAACCUCCCAAGCUUCGGAAUUGAUCCUCAUUUAGAGGAGGAAAAUAGGCGGUACUGCGGCGGCGAGGGGCGAAAAAAGGUACGAUGACGAGGCCACGGGCGCUUUCGCUGGCCUCGCUGCUCCUGCAGCUGCUCUGGACGUCGGGGGCCGCCUCCCUGCGCUUCACGCAUCCCGUUUACAACGCCACCAUCUACGAGAACUCUGCCGCCAAGACCUACCUGGAGAGCCACGUCAAGAUGGGCAUCUACGUGAGCGACCCCUCCUGGGAGAUCCGCUACAAAAUCAUCUCCGGGGACAACGACAACCUGUUCAAAGCCGAGGACUACCUCUUGGGAGAUUUUAGCUUUUUGCGCAUCCGCACCAAAGGGGGCAGCACGGCCAUCCUCAACCGGGAGGUCCGAGACCACUACGCGCUGACGGUCAAGGCGACGGAGCGGGGCGGCGACGUCGAAUGUCGCGCCCGGGUCGACGUCCGGGUGCUGGACACCAACGAUUUGAGGCCCCUCUUCUCGCCCACGUCGUACAGCGUCUCGCUGGCCGAAAACACGCCCGUCCGCAGCAGCGUGGCCAAGGUGACGGCCACGGACGCCGACAUCGGCACCAACGGGGAGUACUACUACAGUUUCCGAGAACGGACCGACACGUUCGCCGUGCACCCCACCAGCGGCGUGGUGACGCUCACCGGCCGGCUGGACUAUUCCGAGACGCCGCUUUACGAGCUGGAAAUACUGGCGGAGGACCGCGGCAUGAAGCUGUACGGGAGCAGCGGCUUCAGUAGCACCGCUAAGCUAACGGUGUGGGUGGAGCGGGCGAACGAAAACGCGCCGACCAUCGCCGCCGUCGCUCUCGCGCCCUCCGACGCCGACCCCGACCCCACUUACGCCUUAGUGACGGUGGAAGACGCCGACCCGGGAGCUAACGGGGAAGUGGCAUCUCUCGCCAUCGUCGCCGGCGACCCGCUUCGGCAGUUUAAAGCCGUGAGGACCAACCCCAGAGGCAAGGAGUUUAAAAUCAAAGCGGUGAAGGACGUGGACUGGCAAAGCCAACCUUUCGGAUAUAAUCUGACUCUCCAGGCUAAAGACAACGGCGACCCGGCUCAGUUUUCCUCGGCUAAAUUAGUACACGUCACGUCGCCUCAGUUUAAAACGGCGCCGCCCGUGUUCGAAAACGCCGUCUACAGAGUCAACCUCAGCGAAUUCGCGCCUCUUCACACGCCCGUCGCAAAAGUCCGCGCUCUGCCCGAGCGCCCCCGCCUCGGAUACGCCCUCAACCGCAAAUCGGAUCCGUUCGCCAUCGACCCAGACACCGGUUUGAUCCGCACGACGGCGCCGAUCCGCGCCGGCCGCUACGAGCUGGACGUGACGGCCGACGGCGGGAAAGCCUCGACCAGAGUCGAGGUGGAGGUGGCGGACGUCAACGACAACGCUCCCGAGUUCCAGCAGACAUCGUACCGGGCCGGCGUGGACGAGAACGCGGCCGUCGGGACCGCCGUGUUGACAAUCAGGGCGACGGACGCGGACCGGGGCGAGAACGGCUACGUGACGUACGGCCUCGCCAAUCUCAGCCCGCAGCCGUUCGUCAUCGACUAUUUCACGGGCGUCGUCAGCACUUCGGAGCCGCUGGAUUACGAGCUCAUGCCUCGGAUUUACACUCUCAAAAUCCGGGCCUCGGAUUGGGGCUCCCCCUUCAGGAGAGAGUCGGAAACGCUCGUCACGGUGACUUUAAACAACCUCAACGACAACGACCCGUUGUUUGAAAACGUGGACUGCGACGUCACCGUGCCCAGAGACCACGGCGCGGGCGAGCAGAUCACCACCGUGUCGGCCAUCGACGCCGACGAGCUCCAGCUGGUGCGCUACUACAUCAAAUCCGGGGACGAGCUGGAUCUGUUCGAGCUGAACGCCAACUCGGGCGUGCUUUCUCUCAAGCGUACGCUGAGCGAAGGCGAAGCGGCCAAAACCUCCUUCCACGGCUUGCGCAUCGUGGCGAGCGACGGCGAACGCGAGACCCCGCCCAUGUACAUGAACAUCACGGUCAUCACCGCCCGGACGCCCGUGCAGGUGAAGUGCGCGGAAACGGGCGUGGCCACCAUGCUGGCCGAAAAACUGCUCCAGGGUAGUAAAAUCCACACGCAAACCGAGCAGGACGACCACUUCGCCGACAUCCACUCCGUCAACCGCCACGCGCCGCGCUUCUCCGAGUCCUUCCCGACCGCCGUGGAAGUCCGCGAGGACGUCCCCGUCGGCGGUCGCGUGGCUCAUUUAGCCGCCGAGGACGCCGACGGCGGCUUCAACGGGAAGCUCGCGUACGUCGUCUCGGGCGGAGACGCGGAAGGUCGCUUCGUCGCCGAGAUGGAAACGGGGUGGCUUUUGGUUUACUCGCCUCUGGACAGGGAAUCAAAAGACCGCUACACGCUCAACGUCACUGUGUACGACCUGGGGAUUCCGCAAAAGUCCGCCUCGCGCCUGCUGGACGUGAAGAUUUUGGACGCUAACGACAACAGCCCGCAGUUUUUGCAGGAUUCCUACUCGGUGGAAAUCAGCGAGAGCACGCCGGCGGGGACGGAGAUCAUCCAGGUGGACGCCACGGAUAAAGAUCAGGACGAGAACGGCGUGGUGAGGUACUCCAUUCUGGGCGGGACCGAUCAUUUCGCCAUCCAUCCCGAGACGGGGGUGGUGACGGUCACCGAGCCGCUGGAUCGCGAGCGGCAUCCGGUCUACGACUUAAAGAUCGCGGCUCGAGACCGGGCGGAGAACGAGCCUCAACUGGUGUCGGUCGCGCCGCUCCGGAUCACCCUGGAGGACGUGAACGACAACCCUCCCAAAUUCGUCCCCCCGAAUUACCGCGUCAAGGUGAGGGAGGACCUCCCCGUCGGCACGGUGGUCAUGUGGCUGGAGGCCCACGACCCCGACGUGGGCUCCUCCGGUCAGAUCCGCUACAGCCUGACGGACAGCGGGGACGGAACCUUCGAGGUGGACAAGCCGAGCGGCGCCGUGCGGAUCGUGCGGAGCCUGGACUACGAGACCAGGCAGGUGUACAACCUGACGGCCAAAGCCAAGGACAAAGGCAAGCCCAUGUCCUUGUCGUCCACUUGCUUCGUGGAAGUGGACGUCGUGGACGUCAACGAGAACCUCCACCGGCCUAUGUUCCGCUCCUUUGUGGAGAAGGGAUUUAUCGAGGAGGACGCCGCCGCGGGCACUUCCGUGAUGACGGUCACGGCGGAGGACGAGGACAAAGGCAGAGACGGAGAGAUCCGAUACUCCGUCCGGGACGGUUCCGGCCUGGGGGUCUUCAGCAUCGAGGAGGAAACCGGUAUCAUCCGGACGCAAGAACUGCUGGACCACGAGACCACGCCCCACUACUGGCUGACCAUCUACGCCAUGGACCGAGGCGUGGUCCCCCUUUCCGCCUUGGUGGAGGUCUACAUCCAAGUGCAGGACGUCAACGACAACGCGCCGCAAGCGUCGGAAGCCGUCUACUACCCCUCGGUGAUGGAGAACUCGCCCAGGGACGUGUCCAUCAUCCAGAUCGACGCGGUGGACCCAGACACUAAAUCCGGCGACAAGCUCAACUAUCGGAUCACCAGCGGAAAUCCGCAGGGAUUCUUCGCCAUUAAUCCCAAGACGGGCCUGCUAACAACGACGUCAAGGAAGUUGGACAGGGAGCAACAGGACGAGCACAUUCUUGAGGUCACCAUCACCGAUCACGGCGUUCCGGCCAAAUCCACCACGGUGCGCGUCAUCGUGCGCGUGCUGGACGAGAACGACAACCGUCCGCUCUUCCUGGAGAAGAUCUACAAGAUCAAACUCCCCGAACGGGAACGGAACCCCGAGAAAGAGCGGGCCGCCGCCCGCCGGGACCCAGUCUACCGGGUCAUCGCCUCCGACCGCGACAGCGGCGCCAACGCCGAGAUCUCCUACAGCAUCGAGGAGGGCGACGAGCACGGCAAGUUCUUCAUCGAACCCAAGACUGGGGCCGUGUCGUCCAAGAAGUUCUCGGCGGCGGGGGAGUACGACAUCCUCACGAUCAAAGCGGUGGACAACGGUCGGCCACAGAAGUCUUCCACCUGCCGCCUCCACUUGGAGUGGAUCCCCAAGCCGGGGGUGCCGGAGGACGCCGCCCCGCUGCUUUUCGAGGAGUCGCCCUUCUCCUUUUCGGUGAUGGAGAGCGACCCCGUGGCGCACAUGGUGGGCGUGGUUGCCACAGAGUCGUCCGACGUGCCAGUCUGGUUCCAGAUCUCAGGAGGCAUAGAGGACACUGAGACGUUUUACGUCCUUCAGAUGGCUUGCGACCACAACUGUACAGCAGAAGGCGGAAACUACGACAGCCGCUUCGACGUGGGCAAAGCUAGCGGAACCCUCAUCGUGGCCAGGCCGUUGGACGCCGAACAAAAGUCCAACUACAACCUGACGGUGGAGGCCACGGACGGGACCAGGACGGUCAGCACUCAGGUUCUGAUCCGAGUCAUCGACACCAACAACCAUCGUCCGGAAUUCUCCCGCGCCAAGUAUGAAGUGAGCGUCCCCGAGGACGUUCCGGCGGGAAGCGAGGUUCUGCGCGUGGACGCCACGGACCAGGACGAGAAAAACAAGCUGACCUUCACGCUUCUGAGCAGCACCGACCCCUUCAGCCUCAAAAAGUUCAAACUGGACCCCGGGACGGGGACGCUAUACACCGCCGAACCGCUGGAUCACGAGACCGUGCGAAGUCACGUUCUCACCGUUAUGGUCCGCGACCAGGACAUCCCAGUGAAACGCAACCUGGUGCGCGUGGUGGUCAACGUGGAGGACGCCAACGACAACGCGCCUUGGUUCGUGGGCACGCCCUACUCUGGCCGCGUCUUUGAGACGGCCGCCGCGGGCUCGGCCGUGUUGCAGGUCACCGCGCUGGACAAAGACACGGGACGCAACGCCGAAAUCGUCUACAGCAUCGAGUCAGGAAACGUGGCAAACUCCUUCGCCGUGGAUCCCGUCCUGGGCACCGUCACGGUGGCCAAAGAACUCAGCCACAGCGGUAAAACCAGCUUCGAACUCACCGUCAAGGCGACAGACCGCGGAGCCAAGCCUUUAUCCGCCACCGCCGCCAUCCACAUCGACGUCACCGUCUCGGACAACGCCGCCCCCAGAUUCCCGGAGAAAGAAUUCUCCGCCGACAUCAGCGAGUCGGCCGCACCCGGUAGCUUCGUAAGCUCGGUGGCGGCCAUCAGCCAGUCGUCUGUUUUCUACCAAAUCAAAAGCGGGAACGCGGACGGCGCCUUUGACAUCAACCCCAACUCGGGCGUGGUGGUCACCCGGAAGGAACUGGACUACGAGACCACCCCCCAAUACAAGCUGGUCGUCCAGGGGACCAACAUGGCGGGGCUGUCCAGCAACGCCACUCUGGCGGUCCACCUGAAGGACGAGAACGACAACGCCCCCGUUUUCGUACGACGGGAGUUCCGCGGCCUGGUCAGCGAGUCGGCCCCGGUCGGCAGCGUGGUUCUCACCCGGGAAAACGCGCCGUUCGUCAUCCGCGCGACUGACGCCGACAGCGAGCGCAACGCCAUGCUGGCGUAUCAGAUCGCGGAGCCCUUCGCCCUCAACUACUUCGCCGUGGACUCGGCCACCGGCGCCGUCAGGAUCACGGCCGCCUUGGACCACGAGCGGAGGAGCGUUUACCGCUUCACGGUGCAGGUCCACGACCUCGGCGCGCCUCGGCUGUUCGCGGAGACUGCGGCCAACGUGACGGUGGAGGUCGUCGACGUCAACGACUGCCCGCCGGUCUUCGGCCGGGACGUCUACGAGGCCGUCGUGGCGCUGCCGACGUACAGAGGAGUGGAAGUGGUCAAAGUCGACGCCGCCGACCCGGACACUGGACCCGACGCCAAGCUUCUGUUUUCCAUCUCCGAGGGCAACAUCGGCGUCAAGUUCAAGAUGGACGCGAACACUGGCGUGCUGUCCAUCCAGAACGUCACCCAGCUGAGAAGCAGGUACGAGCUAAAAGUCCGAGUUUCCGACGGGAGGUUCGCCAGCGUCGCCGCCGUCAAGAUCCACUUGAAAGAGAACAAGGACGGCAAGGUCGAGUUCACCAGAGAGUCCUACCGAGCUUCCGUCUUGGAGAACCUAACCGAGAAGAAGACGCUGGAAGUCAUCGCCGCCGUAGGAAACCAAGUCAACGAGCCGUUGUUCUACAAAAUCCUCAAUCCCGACAAACAUUUUGAAAUCGGACGAACAUCGGGGGUGGUUUCCACCACCGGAGUAGCGUUCGAUCGCGAGGCCCGGGACACCUUUGACGUGGUGGUGGAGGUCACCAAGGAGGACCCGUCCGAAGAGCCCGCCCACGUUCUUUUGACGGUGAUGGUGGAGGACAUCAAUGACAACGCGCCCGUCUUUUUGCACCUCCCCUACCAAGCCCUGGUCCAGAUGGACGCGGAAGAAGGCCAGGUGGUCCGACAGGUCACGGCGGUGGACAAGGACCGAGGUCCCAAUGCCCAAAUCCAUUACAGUUUGAAGGAACCUCAGGAGCAUUUUGACAUCAACCCCUCCGGCGAAAUCACCCUUAAAAAGCCGUUUGAGGUAGAAUCCCUCGACGGCAAUUUCGCGGUGGUGGUGGUCGCGACGGACGGCGGUCAUCCGGCGCUGUCGGCGGAAGCCCAAGUCCCGAUUACCGUGGUGAACCAAGCCGUCCCCGUUUUUGAAAAAGCCUUCUAUAGCAUCGAAAUCCCCGAGAACAUCCAAGUCCACGCGCCGGUUCUCCACGUUCAAGCCAGCGAUUCCGAAGGCCCCCGAAUCGUUUACACGCUAACCGAAGGAGACCCUUUCAAGCAGUUCUCCGUCGACUUCAACACCGGCGUCCUUCACGUAGCUCGUCCCCUGGACUUUGAGACGCACCCGGCGUAUAGAUUAAUCGUGCGCGCCACCGACUCCCUGACAGGGGCGCACUCGGACGUUUUUGUGGAUAUCAUCCUGGUAGACGUCAACGACAACCCGCCGCUGUUCCUCUCCGAGUCGUACCGCGGCAACAUCUCCGAGGCGUCCGCCGUCGGUACUUCUGUCCUGCGGGUGGACGCCAAAGAUUUCGACACGGGACGCAAUCAGGAAAUCUUCUACCAGUUGGUAGAGAAGAAGGGGAGAAGUUCGGAUUACUUCGCGAUCGACCGCGACACGGGAAUCAUCUCGACAGCCCGGCCGCUGGAUCACGAGGAGAUCCGGCAGCACCGACUGAGCGUCCGCGCCGUAGACGGGGGUGUCCCAGCCCUCUCUGGCGAAGUGGCGGUGACAGUGGACGUCACUGAUCUGAACGAUAACGCGCCAAUGUUUGUGGAGCGAGUCUACAAAGCGACCGUUAGCGAGUUAGCUUCUCGCGGACACUUUGUCACCCAAGUCCAGGCUUCGGACGCGGACAGUUCCGACUCGGGAAAGCUGGAGUUCGCCAUCGUCUACGGGAACGAGGACCAGAGUUUCGCCAUCGACAAGCGGACCGGCGCGGUCGUCAUUUCCAACCACCGCCGGCCACAAAUGCGACCGAUCUACCACCUCAACGUGUCCGUUUCGGACGGCGUUUAUCGGAGCUCCGCCCUCGUGGAAGUCACCGUCGUAGGCGCCAACUUCCAUAACCCUGCAUUUUCCCAAGCGGAAUACGUCGUGGAACUCGUGGAAAACUCCCCCGUCGGAACGUUGGUCGCCGAAGCCAAAGCCGCGGAUGACGACGAAGGCGUUUACGGACAAAUCGCGUACCGCGUCGUCAACGACGUCGCCAAGGACAAGUUCGCCGUUGACGAAAACGGCAGCGUCUUCACCUCGGAGGUGCUGGACCGCGACGGCGGCGGCGAAAAAGUCAUCCCCGUCUUCCUGGAGGCCCGGGACGGCGGCGGCAAGGUGGGCUUCUGCACGGUGAACGUGGUCCUCACCGACGUCAACGACAACGCGCCGCAGUUCAGGGCGGCCGAGUACAAAGUCACCGUAGCUUCGGACGCCCCCCGGGGAACGUCGGUGGUGAAGAUCGCCGCCUCCGACGUGGACGAGGGAAGCAACGCCGACGUGGAGUACUCGGUGGAAGCCGAGGCGGAGAACGUGGCGGAGAACUUUGAAAUCCACCCGACGUCCGGGGUGGUCGUGACCAAAGAGAGCCUCGUCGGACUGGAGGGCGAGCUCUACGCCUUUUUCGUCCGAGCAGAGGACACCGGGAACCCGCCCAAAAGUUCCGCGGUUCAAGUUUACAUCCGGAUCGUGGCGCCCGAGACUCCCGUCCCCAAGUUCGGCGAGGCUCAUUACCGCUACGCGCUGGCGGAAGACCUACCCAUCGGCACGGAGAUCGACGUGAUCCGCGCCGAGAGCGAGCGACCGGUGUCUUACGCUCUGGUGAACGGAAACACCCCGGAGAGCAACCGGAAUCAAGUCUUCGUGGUGGACCCGGACACCGGCGCCCUGAAGCUUCAGAAGAGCCUGGACCACGAGACCACCAAGUGGUACCAGCUCACUCUGCGGGCGGAAACCCGGCACGACGGCUACGACGUCGUGGCGUCCGUCGACAUCAACGUCCAGGUCAAAGACCUGAACGACAACGACCCCGUAUUUGAGUCUGACCCGUACCGGGCGGUGGUGGCGGAGAACCUCCCGGGCGGGACGCAGGUGGUUCAAGUCAAAGCCUCCGACCUGGACUCGGGCAGCGACGGCCACGUCCUGUACAGCCUGGACGCCGAGCUCAACUCGCGGGAAGUCGCCGAGCUGUUUGCCGUCAACGCCGAAAGCGGAUGGUUGACCACGCUGAAGGAACUGGACCGCGAAAAGCGUGGCGAAUACAGCGUGGCCGUCCUGGCCAGCGAUCAGGGCGACAAAGUCCGGCGCUCCGCCGCCACGCGGGUGGAGGUGACGGUGGCCGACGUCAACGACAACCCGCCGCGCUUCACGGCGGAGGUCUACAAGGGGACGGUCAGCGAGGACGACCCUCCGCCCAGCGGGGUCAUCGCCAUCCUCAGCACCACCGACCAGGACUCGGAGGACAUCAACAGACAAGUCAGCUACUUCAUUACUGGGGGUGACCCACUGGGACAGUUUGCCAUCGAGCACGUUCAGAACGAAUGGAAAGUGUUAGUCCGGAAGCCUUUGGACCGCGAGAGCGCCGACUAUUACCUCCUCAACAUCACGGCCAGCGACGGCAUCUUCACGGCUAAAGCCGUAGUGGAAGUCAAAGUUCUGGACGCUAACGACAACAGCCCUGUAUGCGACAAGUCUCUCUAUAGCGAGAGCGUCCCCGAGAACUCGCCGGCCAAUCGCCUCAUCUUGCAAGUGUCGGCCACCGACGCGGACAUCCGAUCCAACGCGGAAAUCUCCUACGAGCUCCACGGAGCGGGAUCGGAACUCUUUCUCAUCGACUCCGAGACCGGCGAACUGAAGACCCUGAAACCGUUGGACCGCGAAGAGCGCGACGAGCACCGCUUCAAAGUGCGAGCGGUCGACGGGGGCGGUCGUUUCUGCGAGGCCGACGUGCACCUGGCGGUGCGCGACGUCAACGACAACGCCCCCGAGUUCGCCGCCGACCCGUACGCCUUCACCGUCUUCGAGAACACCCGGACAGGAACUUUCCUGGCCAAGCUGCAGGCUGAAGACGCCGAUACCGGGUCAAACGGAGAAGUGGCAUAUUCGCUGACCGAUUCUGCCGACGGCUGGUUCGCCGUAGACGAGCAUAGCGGCAUCAUCAGCUUGGCCCGGCCGCUGGACCGCGAGGCGCGCGCCAUGUACGAGCUGGAGGCCCGCGCCGCCGACCGCGGCCAGCCCCGCCUGUGGGCCGCCUGCCGCGUGCUGAUCUCCGUGCUAGACAUUAACGACAACCUGCCCGUGUUCGAGCGGCGAGAGUACGCCGCCGCCGUGCCCGAGGACGCGGCCGUCGGCGGGCAGGUGCUGCGCGUGCAGGCGGCGAGCCGGGACCUGGACGCCAACGGAGAGAUUCGAUACAGCAUCGUCAGCGGGAACGAGCACGGAGCGUUCAGCGUGGAUCCCGGCACGGGCGACAUCUUUGUGAUCACGCCGCUAGACUACGAGACGUCUCCCGAGUACUACAUUACGGUGGAGGCCACGGACGGGGGCUCGCCGCCCCUCAGCGACAUGGCCACCGUCAACAUCAACGUGACGGACGUCAACGACAACGCGCCCGUCUUCAGCCAGCGCGUCUACACCGCCGUCGUGGGCGAAGACGCCGAGCUGGGGAGGACCGUCUUGACGGCGAUGGCGGAGGACGCGGACGGGCCGUCGUACAGCCGCGUACGAUACGCCAUCGUGGACGGCAACGGAGAGACCCCCUUCAUCAUCGACCCGCUGCGGGGGCAGCUCAAAGUGGCUCGCCAGUUGGACCGGGAGCAGACGUCGGGAUACACGCUGACGGUGCUGGCCGUGGACAACGGCACGCCGCCGCUGUCCGGCAGCGCCGUGAUCAACGUGGACAUUUCCGACGUCAACGACAACCCGCCCCUCUUCUCCCAGGCCAACUACAGCCUCAUCGUACAGGAGAACCGAGCAGAAGGCACAGCCGUCCUUCAGCUGCAAGUGUCCGACCGGGACGCCUCCCACAACGGGCCACCCUUCGCCUUCUCCAUCGCCGACGGUGACGCGGGCGCCGCUUUCCGUAUUGACCCGAGCGGCGCGCUGCUGGUGGCGGCGCCGCUGAGGAAGAGAGACAAGGAACGCUACCUGCUUCAAGUUCAGGUGUCGGACAGCGGCGACCCGCCCCUGCGGUCCAGCGCCUUCGUGGACGUGCGCGUGAUCGAGGAGAGCGUGUACCCGCCGGCCGUCCUCCCGCUAGACAUUUUCGUGUCGACGGCGGGCGAGGAGUACGCGGGCGGCGUCCUGGGCAAGAUCCACGCCACCGACCAGGACGUGUACGACACGCUGCGCUACGGCCUGGCGCCCCCGUCGUCCUCGCCGCCCUCCUUCUCGGUGUCGGCGUCGGACGGGAAAGUGAUCGCCCUGCGGCCGCUGGACGCCGGCCACUACGCGCUCAACGUGACGGUGACGGACGGGCGCUUCUGGGCGACGGCCGACGUCAACGUGCACGUGCGGCGGGCCGCUCGCCGGGCGCUGGACAACUCGGUGACCGUGCGCUUCGCCGGCACGGCGCCCGAGGAGUUCGUCGGCGACCACUGGCGCAACUUCCAGAGGGCGCUGAGGAACAUCGCCGGCGUACGCCGGAGCGACGUGCAGCUGGUCAGCCUGCAGCCGUCGGCCGAGCGCGCCGGCGACCUGGACGUCCUGCUGGCGUUGGAGAGAUCCGGGAGUCCGUACCAGUCUCAGGAGGUUGUUUUCCGCAAGCUGAACUCGUCAGCGAGCGUGAUGGAAGAAAUGACGGGGGUGCGCAUCGUGCGCGUGUUCCAGAAGCUCUGCGCGGGCAUGGACUGCCCGUUGCGCUUCUGCGACGAGGAGGUGACGCUGGACCGCGCCGCCAUGUCCACCUACAGCACGGCGCGCCUCAGCUUCGUCACGCCUCGCCACCGCCGCGUCGCCACCUGCCAGUGCCGAGGCGGCGAGUGUCCCGCGCUGAACAACGCCUGCGAUAACAGCCCCUGUCCGGAGGGCUUGGACUGCGUGGCCGACGAGCGCGUGGACGCCAAGUAUACCUGUGUCUGCCCUCAAGGACAUAAAAACAAAUGUUCGGACGGGCACUCGUUGACGUUCAGCGGCAGCGGCUACGUCAAGUACCACCUGAUGGAGAACGAUAACAAGGAGCAGAUGAAGCUGUCCCUCAGCCUGCGCACCUUCUCCGCACACGCCACCGUCAUGUUCGCCAAGGGCACCGACUACAGCAUCCUGGAGAUCGUGAACGGUCGACUGCAGUACCGAUUCGACUGCGGCAGCGGCCCCGGCCUGGUGUCCGUCCACAGCGCCGCAGUGAACGAUGGCGAGUGGCACUCGGUCUCCCUGGAGGUGGAAGGCAACUACGCCAAGCUGGUGGUGGACCGCGUGCACGCCGCUUCUGGGAAGGCGCCUGGCACCUUGCGUACCCUCAACCUGGACGACAGCAUCUACUUCGGCGGCCACGUUCGCCAGCGCGCCGCCCCGGCCGCUCGCCUGGGGCGCAACCUGCCCGUGGCCGACGGCUUCCGCGGCUGCAUGGAAGCCAUCGCGCUCAACGGUCAGGAUCUGCCGCUGAACACCAAGGCGCGGCGGGCGCACGCCGUCAUGGAGGCGCUGGAAGACGUGGCGCCCGGCUGCGCGCUUUCCCCGCCGGAGAGCUGCUCCAGCAAUCCCUGCAGUAACGGCGGGGUGUGCAACCCCAGGCCUAAUGGAGGCUACUUCUGCAAGUGUCCCGCCUCUUUCAUGGGCACCCACUGCGAGUUGAGCCCCUGCGACUCCAACCCCUGCCUGUACGGGGGCACCUGCGUACCCCGGGGGGACGACUUCUACUGCCAGUGCAGAGGACAAUACUCGGGACUGAGGUGUCAGCUGGGUUCAUUUUGCACGGACAACCCUUGUAAAAACAAUGGCAAGUGUAUCGAUAGUCUGGACGGGCCGGUGUGCGAGUGUGAAGCUGGUUUCCAGGGAGACAGGUGCACGAGCGACGUGGACGAGUGCUCCCGGAACCCGUGCGGCAACGGCGGGCGCUGCCACAACACGCACGGCUCGUACGAGUGCGACUGCUCGGCGGGCUUCGGCGGCCCCGCCUGCGACGACGUCCGCAACGACAUGGUGUCCACCUCGUGGAACAUCGGGCCGGAGGAGGCGGUGGGCAUCGUGGUCUUCGUCUCCAGCAUCUUCAUCCUGGUGCUCUUCUUCGUCCUCCUGCGCAAGAAGGCGUGCCGCGGGAAAUCCAAGGCGAAGGACGGCGACGGGCGCGCCGGCGCUUCGGCCGCGCCGCACUCCUUCCUGCAGAGGCCCUACUUUGACGCCAAGUUCAACAAGAACGUCUACUCGGACAUCCCGCCGCAGGUGCCCGUGAGGCCCAUCUCGUACACGCCCAGCAUUCCCAGCGACUCGCGCAACAACCUUGACCGCAACUCCUUCGAGGGCUCGGCCAUACCGGAGCACCCCGAGUUCAGCACCUUCAAUCCGGACGCCGUGCACGGACACCGCAAGACGGUGGCCGUGUGCAGCGUGGCGCCCAACCUGCCGCCGCCCCCGCCUUCCAACUCGGUGUCGGACAGCGACUCCAUCCAGAAGCCAAGCUGGGAUUACGACUACGACGCCAAAGUGGUGGACUUGGACUGCGUGACCAAGAAACCCGUAGAGGAGAGCGCGUGUCACCCUUUCAACACCAGGGGGAGCAUGUCGGAAGUCCAGUCGCUCAGCUCCUUCCAGUCCGAGUCGUGCGACGACAACGCCAACGUCAAGGAGCGAAUCGCAAUGGUACUCAGUGAAACUUCCUCCUCGUUUCACCCGAGACAAAAUUCCCUUUAAAAAAAAAAAAAAAAAAAAUCAGCUUUUUUGACAUAUUGAUGACAAAUUUGGAAAUUCUGCUAGCUUGCACCUGUUUGGCAACAAGAUGAAAGUUCAUUGUUGAAUUUUUUUACGACUGUCAGGUAAAAUUGGCACACAAAUAAGCGUAUUUUUAUCAUUCAAAAACGGGCAGAUCUACAAAAAUAUUGAUGGGGUGGCAGGAACUUUUUAAAGGUGGCAAGUAUUUCAUAAUAAUAUAAUACAUCGAUUUUUGGGGGGGGGUGAUAUGAUAUUCAGCAACGAUUUGAUUCAAGCGCCUUUAAUCGAUUUAAUACAAAAUGAUGAAGGCUUUUAAAGCAACACUAAGUAACUUUUCAACCUUAAUAAAAUAUUUUUAUAGUAUCUGUGACAAUAUGUCGACUGACAACUAGUUCAAUGACACCUCUUUUAUAUAUUGAGGGGUUUGUAUUACAUUCACCAGCACUAAUUAACUUUGAGGUGGGUGGCAGGAACCCUGCCACACAAAAAAACCUACAAAUUUGCUGACUGCCUUACAACAUGUGUCACUUUCCCCAUGAAAGAAAUGUUGUUUAAUCUAUCUGCAAGCGACCGGGAGAUUGAUUUUUAAUGGAUUGAUUGAUGAUUUUACGACACUGCGGGUGUGCUCUGGUCCUCAUGGGAAAAGCAGUCUUCCUUAAGGCAAGUUUUGCGUGAACCCCAUCAGUUCCAAUUUUCCCAAAGCAAUCAGAAAUUUUUUUUUUUUUUUUUUUUUUUAACCAAACGGCAUAUUGGAAUUAUAAUUUUGAUCAAAUUACAUUUAAUGAUUUACAUUUAAUUUAUUGAUCCACAUCGAUGAAUUUUUACAAUACAUAUUGAAUCAGUUUGCUAAAAAAUUGUAUAUAGACACUACAAGAAGGCACACGUGACAUUUACAAACUGAUAUAGAGAAAUGUCGUUCCAUAAAAACUUUUUUUUUUUUAUUAUAAUUAUUAUGAAGAUCAUCACUACUUAAUUGAUGGCAGUAAUUGCCAAAUUGACUGGAUCUUUAUUUUUCAUUCUCAUCAGUGCUGACUGGGGUGGCAAGCCUGUCUUUGCCACCCCAUGCCAUCCUGGUGGGUCCGCUCCUGUUUAAAAAAAUAAGCUGAUUUUUUUUUUUUUUUAACAUGUCUUAGCUCACUAUCAUUGCUCAUUGGUUGCCAUGGACGGCAACAGAUCAUCCACUCUUUGGUAUAGUUAUGUGUGUGUAUAUAUAUAUAUGUAUGUAUAUAUAAAAUCUCCAUUAUACUUUAAUUUAAAAACAAAAAAACAAAAAAACUAGUACAAUGGUAGGUAAAGAUCCAAAAUCAAUUGGUUCCAAAGAGGCUUUCUUAUUUUGAUUUUUUCGGAAAAUGAAUAGCAUUUUUACAUGUACAGUGAAUCACCUCAUUCGUAUCAAGCGUUACUAAAUCACAUUAAAUUUGCUGUCAUGUCCUCUGAUUGCCUGUUUAUUUGUUAUCCUUUGUCGCCUCCUAUCAGGGCUUUAGAAUAGAAUAGAAUAGAACAGAACAGAAUAGAAUAGAAUAGAAUAGAAUAGGCCUUUAUUGUAAUUAUACAGUUGUACAAUGAAAUUAUGAAACAUCUAUCUUUACAGUGCAGGAUAAGAUAAAAUCUCAAAAGGGACUUGCAAGUAUAAAAUCUAAAUAAAUACAAAAUGUGUAUGAUUCUAUGUUCAAGUAGUUCAAAUAAUGGAAGUAAGUAGCAGCAGUUUGACAGUGAGGCAUUGAAUAUUGCACGUAGUAUUGCGCAUAGAAUAUUACAUGGAAAUGAAUAUCGGACACUGGGUGACGUGGUGUUACAUAUGGCAGUCCAGGGUGGGUUUAGCAAAGAAACUGUUCCUCAGUCUGUUUGUUCUACCUUUUAAACACAAAUAGGAUCUCCCAUGGUCCGGGGGGGAGCUUAGGGGGAGUCCGGCGGCACCUGAACUGGUAGGGGUUCUGGUUUAAGGCCGUAAAAGGGGCGUGGCUAGGUGUAGGGAGGGUCAAACAGAAUAGUAUGAUGAUGCGCAGAGCUGUAAUACAAUGAUCCCUUGUUUUUCCCUUUUAAUGGGGACCAGAACCUGCCGUGAUAAGUGAAAAAAUGCUAAUUAGCGCCGCCCCCAAAAUUAUUUAUUUUCUUGUGUGUGUUGAAUGUACUUAUUCAGAUUUAGCAUUGGAAAGAGAUAAAGAUAAGAAAUGUUUUUUCACUUUUUUCCCCAAAAUAUAAUUAAAAAAAAAAAGUUUAAACAUGUUACUGUCCCACUGAAUUAUUUUUCAACAAGAAUAAAGUACAAAAAUGCUUUUCUUUAUUAAAUGCUUCAUUGAGAGAGUCCACUCAAUUCCGCUCAAGUUCCUCACGUACACACAAUGAGUUGCCACAGCAACUGUUUAACAAGCUAAACAAUGAUUGACGCAUGCGGCGCUUUGAAUUUUCGGCUUUCAAGCGUCUCUGGCAAGACCAAACCUUAACGUCUAUCAAUCCUGUUUAUGUUUAAUAAGCCACACCAGUGUACUGCCUGACGAGAAAAAAAAAAGCAGCCGGAGGGAGACUACGUGAUCGGAUCGGGACGACUCAUCGGUAUUUAUUCAUUUUUUUAAUUAGAAAAAAAAAAUCCGUAAUGGACGAAGGGCGCAAAGUUUCAAGCGCAAAGUAGCGAGGGAUCACUGUAUAGUUUUUAAGUGUUUUUCUUUCUAAGGCAACAAAUUUCUGAAGUCCACGAUGUAACAAAUGAAAGUAAGAUAUUUCACUAACAUCUGAUUUUGUUGUAGAUAACAGGAAGUCAACUAAGCGCAAAAACUAUUGUCUUGUGAUGCCUCACUAGAUGCUUUGAUAAUGAUAAAUGUAACAACUUUGAGGUUUUCCGAAUAAACAUUUAGUUAAAAAAAAAAUAUAUAUAUAUAUAUAUAUAAGACUUCAACUGAAGUUAUUGGAAAAAGUGCCUAUAUUGCACCACUAUAUUUAUUGUUGAAAUAAAAAUUGGGCAACCAUAUAAGGCACAAACAAUGUGGCGAGAUGGCAAGAACUGCUAUGGUAGAAUGGCUGCAGAUGUCAGCGCAUCCAUUUAGCUCUCUAUUUGCAAUGAGCUCGCAUUUACAUAUGAUUACAUCAGCAGAAAAUACUGGAACUUAUCAAAACCAAUUACACCUUGGGGUAAUUGGGUUGACAGAACACCAGAAACCCAGGCGGGCAAUAAGUGGACAUGACAGCACUGCCAUACACAUAUUGGCCUAAAACAGAUAAUGUAAAACCAAUGUCAAUAUUAUCCAGUAUCAUUUAAAAAUGCUUUUAUCAGCCAGUACUACCUAAUAAUAUCGGAAAACUCUAAUAAUGACCAUUUAAAAAAAAAAAAAAAAAAAAGAAAAGAAUCCAUGCCUAGCCCUAGUGUCUCCCUGCCACUGUGUCACUGUUAGUCAUCCAAGCAUUCUGUUUUAGCACCACAUGAUUUUUUUCCUGCUGAUUUUUUUGCGCUUUUAUGCUAAUGCUUGCUCAUGUCUCCUCUGGCAAGCCUCCAUCGUGACUGUCAUCCACUUUGUCAACUCUGUGCUUGACACAGUGGAAAGAGAAGGUACCGUUUUAUUUUGCUUGUUGUUGUCAUGAGGCUCGCAGUCACCAUUUUCUUUCUCGCACGCUAACAAGUCCAUUUUGAAAAAAAAUGCUCCAGCAUAGGUUAAGAAGUCUUGUCACUGCUAGCUUGCUAGCUCGGUUAUCGACCUUUUACGUUUUUAACAUGUUUUCUCUCUUUCUUCUCCUCUUCCUUCUUCACGGAUUCUUUAUGAAAGAGUCUUUUUUGGCUCGUGAGCGCAGGAACACAAGAGGAUACCACUGGGACACGUCCGACUGGAUGCCGAGCGUCCAGCUGCCGGGAAUCAAGGAGUUCCCGCAGUACGAGCUGGCGGACUCGCCGCCCGCCACCCUGUACAGCGACCCGAGCGCCAUG